UUGGGGAGAUGUAUAGUCCUCUUAUGGGGGCUAGUUAUGUUUGUUUUAGUUCUAUUAUAUAUAAGCUUUAGCAAAAAAGGGGGGAUAUGUUUUAGUUCUAUUAUACAUUAGAUGGUUGAGCAAAUAUAAAACCAACUACGUUGGAUAAAGUUCUAGAUAGAAUACUGAUUGUGACAAUUUUCUAUCUACUUGUCUUGACCAAAUUACGUGCCAGCAGUCGCGGUAAUACGUAAAAGACUAGUGUUAUCCAUCUUUAAUAGGUUUAAAGGGUACCUAGACGGCGAUUAUUAACCUUAAAGACGGAUAUAAUACAUGCUAGAGUUUGAUAAGAGAAGGGGGAGUAUUUACGGAGUAGAGAUGAAAUUCUUUGAUACCCUUAAGGACUGGCAAUGGCGAAAGCGACCUUUUAUGUAAAAAACUGACGUUGAGGGACGGAGGCUUGGAUAGCGAACAGGAUUAGAUACCCUAGUAGUCUUUGCAGAGAAUGAUGAAUGCCAUAGAUUAGAUAAAUUUAGUUUAUAAAUGAAAGUGUAAGCAUUCCACCUCAAGAGUAAUGUGGCAACGCAGGAACUGAAAUCAUUAGACCGUUUCUGAGAACAGUAGUGAAGUAUGUUAUUUAAUUCGGUGACCCUCGAAAAACCUUACCCCAACUUGAAUAGCAUCAUGCCCCUAUUAUUUUUUCUAAGGGAUCGAUCUACCUAUUAAUGGGUAUUUCGGGUUUAGACUUUUAAUUUAUAUAUAGAAAAGGUAAAAGUUUACUAAUCGGUAUGCCCUUAAAAAAAAAAAGGGCAUUUGCGUGCAUUUGCGUGCAUUUGCGUGCAUUUGCGUGCUUAGACUUUUAUCAGGGUGAUGUUACAUACGUUGCACGGUUGUCUUCAGCUAAUGUCGUGAGAUUUUGGUUAGUUCCAUAAAAUUAGCGUAAACCCCGGCUUUAUUUUUAAAUUCUUAUCAUAAAGCAGUUCAUCACUAUAUUGAAUACAUGAUAACAGGGAUCAAGACAAAUUC
rnacentral:rRNA from 1 species